rnacentral:snoRNA from 8 species
GGGGUGUGCUCAGAGCAGGGGGCGCGAAGAAUGCCUCCUCUGUUUACAACACACCCAACAGUAAUCUGGGGUCAUU